rnacentral:lncRNA from 1 species
CCGGGAACAGCGGCGGCCGCUCCGCCGGGAGCCCCCGGGAGCCCGGGAAUUGCUCGGGAAGGCUGUGCCCGCCCGGGAUGUCCCUGCCAGCCCCGGGCAGGGCCGUGCCCGGACGGGAGCCGCUCCGGAGGCACGGGAACAUCCCGAGCCUGGAUUCCCCCUUGGAGCACCUUCCUGCUCCAGCCUUCCCGCUUCUCCCUGGCGCUUCCCAGGAGAGCAGGGGACACUGCCAGGAGCCGGACAUUGGCAGCCACCGCCUGGCGCUGCAGAGGAUGGCGGGGGACCUGCUGUCCCUGCGCCGCCGCGUUGCCAGCCUGGAGGCCGAGAACGGGCACCUGCGGCACAGCCUGGCACGGCUCCGGGAGCCGGCGCAGCUCCGCGGCACCGACCUGGACGUGCUGACCCGGGACGAGCUGCUGGACAAGCUGGGUGCGUGCCGGGCACGGGCCG